AGAAACACAGAAAUAAGUUGGUAGAAAGUAUCUCCUUUUGUCUCUUACAGGCAACACUCCCUUACACUCAUAACAACAACUUCAAGUAUGGACUGCACCUCUCACCUCCCCUGUAGCACUUACAAAACAGUACCUGGAUGUACCAGACUCUGCAGAUGUCUCUGGUAACAGACUUCUUUCCCUUAGGUACAUCUGACACAAAUAUUAACAGCAUGCUAUAAAAUGAAAAGAUGCAAUUGGAACCAAAAGAAACGACAACUGGUGACUGUCACAGGCAUGAAACACACAGUUAAUCUGCUCACCCUGUCCUUCCUCAACAUAGAAUUAGUGGCAGAUCAAGAAGCAAUUGCUGAGACAUGCCAGGAGAGCACCCUGGGAGCAGCACUGCGGGCAGGCAGGCAGUGCAGCUGUGGCAGACCAGCCAUGGCAUGCUGCUGAUAUUUCUGCUAAUGAAAAGUUUUCCUCUAAGAAACCACUGAAGAGAUUGAACAGUGACAGGAGAUGUAAGUGGCAGAAAUCAGACAUCUGUAUAUGACAGUAUUAUAGUGGGGGUUUAAUCAUCUCCCUACUUAUUUCAGCUGUCACACAGAGUCAAAGAGUGCACAGGAGAAACCACUGACUGCCAAGACUGCAAAUGAGUUAUGAUUUCUUUCUUUACUUACAUGAGCAAGUGUACCCUGGAACAGCCCCCAUACUCGUAUAUGCAAAGUAGUGACAAAAUCAUUUGUAGGUCAAGACUUAUCUCAUUCUCAAACAGACGCAGAAAAUAAGUCAGAUGAUUCCCUCAAAGAGUUAAGUAUAAAAGUGGCAUAAGGCAGCAACUAACAGAGAAGAUCAAGCUCGAUUUGAGAGGUGCAUACAGGACUG
rnacentral:lncRNA from 1 species